UGGGGGAUAUUGCACAAUGGGGGAAACCCUGAUGCAGCAACGCCGCGUGAGGGAAGAAGGUUUUCGGAUUGUAAACCUCUGUCCUUGGUGAAGAUAAUGACGGUAGCCAAGGAGGAAGCUCCGGCUAACUACGUGCCAGCAGCCGCGGUAAUACGUAGGGAGCGAGCGUUGUCCGGAUUUACUGGGUGUAAAGGGUGCGUAGGCGGCUAUGCAAGUCAGGUGUGAAAACUAUGGGCUUAACCCAUAGACUGCACUUGAAACUGUGUGGCUUGAGUGAAGUAGAGGUAGGCGGAAUUCCCGGUGUAGCGGUGAAAUGCGUAGAGAUCGGGAGGAACACCAGUGGCGAAGGCGGCCUACUGGGCUUUAACUGACGCUGAAGCACGAAAGCGUGGGUAGCAAACAGG
rnacentral:rRNA from 1 species